rnacentral:rRNA from 1 species
UGGGGAAUCUUCCGCAAUGGACGAAAGUCUGACGGAGCAACGCCGCGUGAGUGAAGACGGCCUUCGGGUUGUAAAGCUCUGUUAUUCGGGAAGAACGAUUCGUUUGUGAACAAUGAACGGAAGUGACGGUACCGAAAGAGAAAGCCACGGCUAACUACGUGCCAGCAGCCGCGGUAAUACGUAGGUGGCAAGCGUUGUCCGGAAUUAUUGGGCGUAAAGAGCGCGUAGGCGGUAUGGUAAGUCUGUCUUAGAAGUGCGGGGCUUAACCCCGUGAGGGGACAGGGACUGUCAUACUGGAGUCUCGGAGAGGAAAGCGGAAUUCCUAGUGUAGCGGUGAAAUGCGUAGAGAUUAGGAAGAACACCGGUGGCGAAGGCGGCUUUCUGGACGAGCACUGACGCUGAGGCGCGAAAGCGUGGGGAGCGAACAGG